AAUGCAAGUCGAGCGGACCGACGGGAGCUUGCUCCCUUAGGUCAGCGGCGGACGGGUGAGUAACACGUGGGUAACCUGCCUGUAAGACUGGGAUAACUCCGGGAAACCGGGGCUAAUACCGGAUGCUUGAUUGAACCGCAUGGUUCAAUCAUAAAAGGUGGCUUUUAGCUACCACUUACAGAUGGACCCGCGGCGCAUUAGCUAGUUGGUGAGGUAACGGCUCACCAAGGCGACGAUGCGUAGCCGACCUGAGAGGGUGAUCGGCCACACUGGGACUGAGACACGGCCCAGACUCCUACGGGAGGCAGCAGUAGGGAAUCUUCCGCAAUGGACGAAAGUCUGACGGAGCAACGCCGCGUGAGUGAUGAAGGUUUUCGGAUCGUAAAACUCUGUUGUUAGGGAAGAACAAGUACCGUUCGAAUAGGGCGGUACCUUGACGGUACCUAACCAGAAAGCCACGGCUAACUACGUGCCAG
rnacentral:rRNA from 1 species